rnacentral:rRNA from 1 species
AAGUCGUAACAAGGUUUCCGUAGGUGAACCUGCGGAAGGAUCAUUACCGAGUGAGGGCCCUCUGGGUCCAACCUCCACCCGUGUUUAUUUACCUUGUUGCUUCGGCGGCCCGCCGUAUGGCCGCCGGGGCUUCUGCCCCGGCCGCGCCCGCCGAAGACACCUCGAACUCUGUCUGAAGAUUGUAGUCUGAGUAUAAAUAUAAAUUAUUUAAAACUUUCAACAACGGAUCUCUUGGUUCCGGCAUCGAUGAAGAACGCAGCGAAAUGCGAUACGUAAUGUGAAUUGCAGAAUUCAGUGAAUCAUCGAGUCUUUGAACGCACAUUGCGCCCUCUGGUAUUCCGGAGGGCAUGCCUGUCCGAGCGUCAUUGCUGCCUCAAGCACGGCUUGUGUGUUGGCCCCGUCCUCCGAUCCCGGGGACGGCCCGAAAGGCAGCGGCGGCACCGAGUCCGGUCCUCGAGCGUAUGGGGCUUUGUCACCCGCUCUGUAGGCCCGGCCGGCGCUUGCCGAUCAACCAAACUUUUUCCAGGUUGACCUCGGAUCAGGUAGGGAUACCCGCUGAACUUAA